rnacentral:rRNA from 1 species
AUUCCAGCCCCAAUAGCGUAUAUUUAAGUUGCUGCAGUUAAAAAGCUCGUAGUUGGAUUUCGGGCGGUUGACGACGGUCCGCCUCUGGUGUGCACUGCCGUUCUUCCGCCUUUCUGUCGGGGACGUGCUCCUAGGCUUCAUUGUCUGGGACACGGGUUCGACGUGGUUACUUUGAGUAAAUUAGAGUGUUCAAAGCAGGCAUCGCCUUGAAUAUAUUAGCAUGGAAUAGCACGAUAGGACUCUGGCCUAUUUUGCUGGUCUGUAGGACCGGAGUAAUGAUUAAGAGGGACAGUCGGGGGCAUUCGUAUUUCAUUGUCAGAGGUGAAAUUCUUGGAUUUAUGAAAGACGAACUUCUGCGAAAGCAUUUGCCAAGGAUGUUUUCAUCG